rnacentral:rRNA from 1 species
AUUGAACGCUGGCGGCAGGCCUAAUACAUGCAAGUCGAACGAGUGGCGGACGGGUGAGUAAUGUCUGGGAAACUGCUCGAUGGAGGGGGAUAACUACUGGAAACGGUAGCUAAUACCGCAUACCAUCAGAUGUGCCCAGAUGGGAUUAGCUAGUUGGUGGGGUAACGGCUCACCAAGGCGACGAUCGCUAGCUGGUCUGAGAGGAUGACCAGCCACACUGGAACGGAGACACGGUCCAGACGCCGACGGGAGGCAGCAGUGGGGAAUAUUGCACAAUGGGCGGAAGCCAGAUGCAGCCAUGCCGCGUGUAUGAAGAAGGCCUUCGGGUUGUAAAGUACUUUAAGCGGGGAGGCGUUACCCGCAGAAGAAGCACCGGCUAACUCCGUGCCAGCAGCCGCGGUAAUAC